AGAGUUUGAUCAUGGCUCAGGACGAACGCUGGCGGUGUGCUUAAUACAUGCAAGUCGAACAGAGUUUGAUCAUGGCUCAGAUUGAACGCUGGCGGCAGGCCUAACACAUGCAAGUCGAACGGUAACAGGAAGCAGCUUGCUGCUUUGCUGACGAGUGGCGGACGGGUGAGUAAUGUCUGGGAAACUGCCCGAUGGAGGGGGAUAACUACUGGAAACGGUAGCUAAUACCGCAUAAUGUCGCAAGACCAAAGAGGGGGACCUUCGGGCCUCUUGCCAUCGGAUGUGCCCAGAUGGGAUUAGCUUGUUGGUGAGGUAACGGCUCACCAAGGCGACGAUCCCUAGCUGGUCUGAGAGGAUGACCAGCCACACUGGAACUGAGACACGGUCCAGACUCCUACGGGAGGCAGCAGUGGGGAAUAUUGCACAAUGGGCGCAAGCCUGAUGCAGCCAUGCCGCGUGUAUGAAGAAGGCCUUCGGGUUGUAAAGUACUUUCAGCGGGGAGGAAGGGGUUAAGGUUAAUAACCUUAGCCAUUGACGUUACCCGCAGAAGAAGCACCGGCUAACUCCGUGCCAGCAGCCGCGGUAAUACGGAGGGUGCAAGCGUUAAUCGGAAUUACUGGGCGUAAAGCGCACGCAGGCGGUCUGUCAAGUCGGAUGUGAAAUCCCCGGGCUCAACCUGGGAACUGCAUUCGAAACUGGCAGGCUUGAGUCUCGUAGAGGGGGGUAGAAUUCCAGGUGUAGCGGUGAAAUGCGUAGAGAUCUGGAGGAAUACCGGUGGCGAAGGCGGCCCCCUGGACGAA
rnacentral:rRNA from 1 species